AGAGUUUGAUCAUGGCUCAGAUUGAACGCUGGCGGCAGGCCUAACACAUGCAAGUCGAGCGGUAGCACAGAGAGCUUGCUCUCGGGUGACGAGCGGCGGACGGGUGAGUAAUGUCUGGGAAACUGCCUGAUGGAGGGGGAUAACUACUGGAAACGGUAGCUAAUACCGCAUAACGUCGCAAGACCAAAGUGGGGGACCUUCGGGCCUCAUGCCAUCAGAUGUGCCCAGAUGGGAUUAGCUAGUAGGUGGGGUAACGGCUCACCUAGGCGACGAUCCCUAGCUGGUCUGAGAGGAUGACCAGCCACACUGGAACUGAGACACGGUCCAGACUCCUACGGGAGGCAGCAGUGGGGAAUAUUGCACAAUGGGCGCAAGCCUGAUGCAGCCAUGCCGCGUGUGUGAAGAAGGCCUUCGGGUUGUAAAGCACUUUCAGCGGGGAGGAAGGCGAUAAGGUUAAUAACCUUGUCGAUUGACGUUACCCGCAGAAGAAGCACCGGCUAACUCCGUGCCAGCAGCCGCGGUAAUACGGAGGGUGCAAGCGUUAAUCGGAAUUACUGGGCGUAAAGCGCACGCAGGCGGUCUGUCAAGUCGGAUGUGAAAUCCCCGGGCUUAACCUGGGAACUGCAUUCGAAACUGGCAGGCUAGAGUCUUGUAGAGGGGGGUAGAAUUCCAGGUGUAGCGGUGAAAUGCGUAGAGAUCUGGAGGAAUACCGGUGGCGAAGGCGGCCCCCUGGACAAAGACUGACGCUCAGGUGCGAAAGCGUGGGGAGCAAACAGGAUUAGAUACCCUGGUAGKCCACGCCGUAAACGAUGUCGAUUUGGAGGUUGUGCCCUUGAGGCGUGGCUUCCGGAGCUAACGCGUUAAAUCGACCGCCUGGGGAGUACGGCCGCAAGGUUAAAACUCAAAUGAAUUGACGGGGGCCCGCACAAGCGGUGGAGCAUGUGGUUUAAUUCGAUGCAACGCGAAGAACCUUACCUGGUCUUGACAUCCACAGAACUUAGCAGAGAUGCUUUGGUGCCUUCGGGAACUGUGAGACAGGUGCUGCAUGGCUGUCGUCAGCUCGUGUUGUGAAAUGUUGGGUUAAGUCCCGCAACGAGCGCAACCCUUAUCCUUUGUUGCCAGCGGUCCGGCCGGGAACUCAAAGGAGACUGCCAGUGAUAAACUGGAGGAAGGUGGGGAUGACGUCAAGUCAUCAUGGCCCUUACGACCAGGGCUACACACGUGCUACAAUGGCAUAUACAAAGAGAAGCGACCUCGCGAGAGCAAGCGGACCUCAUAAAGUAUGUCGUAGUCCGGAUUGGAGUCUGCAACUCGACUCCAUGAAGUCGGAAUCGCUAGUAAUCGUAGAUCAGAAUGCUACGGUGAAUACGUUCCCGGGCCUUGUACACACCGCCCGUCACACCAUGGGAGUGGGUUGCAAAAGAAGUAGGUAGCUUAACCUUCGGGAGGGCGCUUACCACUUUGUGAUUCAUGACUGGGGUGAAGUCGUAACAAGGUAACCGUAGGGGAACCUGCGGUUG
rnacentral:rRNA from 1 species